CAACUUUCAACAACGGAUCUCUUGGUUCUGGCAUCGAUGAAGAACGCAGCGAAAUGCGAUAAGUAGUGUGAAUUGCAGAAUUCAGUGAAUCAUCGAAUCUUUGAACGCACAUUGCGCCCCUUGGUAUUCCAUGGGGCAUGCUUGUUCGAGCGUCAUUU
rnacentral:rRNA from 20 species